UGUCAUCUGUUAAAAAAAACCAAUACAUUGCCAUAAAAAUAUGUGACAGUAGUAAAACUUACUUUCUUUAAAGCAAAGUAUUAUAUAUAUGAUCCGAACAAAGUUGGGAAAAAAAGAUUUGGCAACAACAGUUUAAAUCAACCUUCUAAAUACUGCAGCAAAUAUAUAUCUCCACAAUGCAGGCAAAUAGCCCUUUGAGACUUCACUUAUCUGUGAUCAACAAAAUGUGUUAUUUAGCUAGUGAACAGACUAAAUGAUGAACCUUUAAGAAGAACUCAACAGAACUGAUGAAUAUUGAGGAUUACCCAGUUGGAAUUAAACUGGAUUUUGAUUGGGACAGGCAGAGUAAAUACACUGAUAUAUUACAAAGAAAUGUCACUUUUUUCCGCUUCUGUCCUUUAUUAUUCCAAUCUGGACACUAAAAGAUGCAAGCAAGUCAAUUGUUACAGUAUAUAGAUAUGUGCCAGAUAUGUCUUUCAUUGUGAAUACUCUUCCUGCAGUUUUGUAGCACUUGCUAUUGGACAUGUAAGAUCAGAAGUGAAAUUUAGCGAAAUUCCCACCAAAGUCCCAUAAGCUGUACCAAGGUUGAUGAAAGGCCACAUCAUUAGCCAUUCCUUCACAAUUACCUUUUCAUUUUUUUCAAAAGUGCCUGAAUUUUACAAACUAUUUGUAUAUAAGGCCUGAGAGAGCCAUACAGCCCACAAGAAAACUGAACGGUUGACAGAUUUAA